rnacentral:rRNA from 1 species
UGAGUAAAGUCUGGGAAUCUGGCCAAAGGCGGGGGGGCAACACUGGAAACGGUGGCUAAUACCGCAUAAUCUCUAAGGAGCAAAGUGGGGGACCGUUCUGGCCUCACACCUUCGGAUGAACCCAUAUGAGAUUAGCUAGUAGGUGGGGUAAGGGCUCACCUAAGCGACGAUCUCUAGCUGGUCUGAGAGGAUGAUCAGCCACACUGGGACUGAGACACGGCCCAGACUCCUACGGGAGGCAGCAGUGGGGAAUAUUGCACAAUGGGCGCAAGCCUGAUGCAGCCAUGCCGCGUGUAUGAAGAAGGCCUUCGGGUUGUAAAGUACUUUCAGUCGUGAGGAAGGUGUUAGGGUUAAUAACCUUAGCAAUUGACGUUAGCGACAGAAGAAGCACCGGCUAACUCCGUGCCAGCAGCCGCGGUAAUACGGAGGGUGCGAGCGUUAAUCGGAAUUACUGGGCGUAAAGGGCACGCAGGCGGUUAAUUAAGUUGAAUGUGAAAUCCCCGGGCUUAACCUGGGAAUGGCAUUCAAGACUGGUUAGCUAGAGUCUUGUAGAGGGGGGUAGAAUUCCAUAUGUAGCGGUGAAAUGCGUAGAGAUGUGGAGGAAUACCGGUGGCGAAGGCGGCCCCCUGGACAAAGACUGACGCUCAUGUGCGAAAGCGUGGGGAGCAAACAGGAUUAGAUAUCCUGGUAGUCCACGCUGUAAACGAUGUCGAUUUGGAGGUUGCGGUCUUGAACU